rnacentral:rRNA from 1 species
AACGAACGCUGGCGGCAUGCCUAACACAUGCAAGUCGAACGAGGCCUUCGGGUCUAGUGGCGCACGGGUGCGUAACGCGUGGGAACCUGCCCUUAGGUUCGGAAUAACUCCCCGAAAGGGGUGCUAAUACCGGAUAAUGUCUUCGGACCAAAGAUUUAUCGCCUUUGGAUGGGCCCGCGUUGGAUUAGCUAGUUGGUAGGGUAAAAGCCUACCAAGGCGACGAUCCAUAGCUGGUCUGAGAGGAUGAUCAGCCACACUGGGACUGAGACACGGCCCAGACUCCUACGGGAGGCAGCAGUGGGGAAUAUUGGACAAUGGGCGAAAGCCUGAUCCAGCAAUGCCACGUGAGUGAUGAAGGCCUUAGGGUUGUAAAGCUCUUUUACCCGGGAUGAUAAUGACAGUACCGGGAGAAUAAGCUCCGGCUAACUCCGUG